rnacentral:rRNA from 1 species
UUUAGCGAGCAUCCCUGAGCAAAGAGAACUUUAGUUCAGCCCCCCGAUACUAGACGAGCUACUUCAAGACAGCCUCUAGGCAAACGCCUGUAGGGCACACCCGUCUCUGUCGCAAAAGAGUGGGAAGAUCUUCAAGUAGAGGUGACAAACCUAUCGAGCCUAGUUAUAGCUGGUUGCCUGAGAAGUGAAUUUAAGUUCAGCCUCCCGACUCCCCCCAUCAAAGACAUCUAUGUCUCCUCAGAUUAAAGGCGACCGAGAGAGUUAGUCAAAGAGGGUACAGCCUCUUUGAAAAAGGACACAACCCCCCAGAGAGAGUAAAGAUCAUAUAUUAUUUAAGGAAACUUAUUUUAGUGGGCCCAAAAGCAGCCACCUAAGAAGAAAGCGUUAUAGCUCCUAUAAAUUCCGCCCCCUAAUACCGAAGUUCACUCUUCACUCCCCUGUCCACUAUCAAGCCGUCCCAUAAACCCUGGGAAAGACCCUGCUAAAAUGAGUAAUAAGAGGGAAUGCCCCUCUCCCCCACAUAUGUGUAAAUCGGAACGGACCCGCCCCCGACAACUAACGAUCCCCCAACGAGGGCAAUGUAGCACCGCACAGAUAGCUAGAAAACCUAAUAUAUAAUAUCGUUAACCCAACACAGGUGUGUACCCCCGGAAAGACUUAAACAAAGGGAAGGAACUCGGCAAACACAAGCCUCGCCUGUUUACCAAAAACACCGCCUCUUGCAGAAAUGAACGAAUAAGAGGUCCCGCCUGCCCAGUGACUAUAUGUUAAACGGCCGCGGUAUUUUGACCGUGCAAAGGUAGCGUAAUAAUUUGUCUUUUAAAUGAAGACUAGUAUGAAUGGCGUCACGAGGGCUUAGCUGUCUCCCCUUUAAAGUCAAUGAAAUUGAUCUCCCCGUGCAGAAGCGGGGAUACGCUCGUAAGACGAGAAGACCCUAUGGAGCUUAAGAUCUAAAGCAGCCCACAUCAAACACCCCUCAAAGGAAACAAACAGGGUGGCCCUUGCUGACAUAUCUUCGGUUGGGGCGACCACGGGGAAAAACAAAACACCCACAUGGACUGGGGCCACUCACCCUAAAACAUAGACCCACAGGUCAAGUCAACAGUACUUCUGACCACCAAUGACCCGGCAUAAAGCCGAUCAAUGAACCUAGUUACCCUAGGGAUAACAGCGCAAUCCUCUCCGACAGCCCUUAUCGACGAGGGGGUUUACGACCUCGAUGUUGGAUCAGGACAUCCUAAUGGUGCAGCCGCUAUUAAGG